AAUAGGACUCACGUCCUAUCCUUUAAUAAAUCGUCCCUUCGGGACU
rfam:Chryseobacterium arachidis strain DSM 27619 genome assembly, contig: Ga0131169_101